rnacentral:misc_RNA from 1 species
GAUGAAGAACGUAGCGAAAUGCGAUAAGUAGUGUGAAUUGCAGAAUUCCGUGAAGCAUCGAAUCUUUGAACGCACAUUGCGCCUUCUGGUAUUCCGGAAGGCAUGCCUGUUCGAGAGUCAUUAACAACCGUUUCGAUCCCUUUCUUUCAGAAAUUACAAAGAGGAAAAGGGUUUGGUUAUGGUGGAGGAGGGAAAGGGAGCGUUUAGCCUGUAAAAAAAGAGGCUGUGUUCCGCCUCCCCCCCAAAAUUGUACAGGCGGUCGUGUGCGCCCACGCAUCGAGGUGUUGUAAAAGCUGCCACGGCACUUUUCACCUGUGCAGUGCGAGAUUGGCCAGCCGGUUUAAAAACCCCUCCAAACAAUCAAAGGUUGACCUCGGAUCAGGUAGGGAUACCCGCUGAACUUAAGCAUAUCAAUAAGCGGAGGA